UACGAAGGGGGCUAGCGUUGUUCGGAAUUACUGGGCGUAAAGCGCGCGCAGGCGGCCAUUCAAGUCAGGCGUGAAAGCCCCGGGCUUAACCUGGGAGGUGCGCUUGGGACUGGGUGGCUAGAGAUCGGGAGAGGAGAGUGGAAUUCCCAGUGUAGAGGUGAAAUUCGUAGAUAUUCGCAAGAACACCAGUGGCGAAGGCGGCUCACUGGCCCGGUACUGACGCUGAGGUGCGAAAGCGUGGGGAGCAAACAGG
rnacentral:rRNA from 1 species